UGGGGAAUAUUGCACAAUGGGCGAAAGCCUGAUGCAGCAACGCCGCGUGAGCGAUGAAGGCCUUUGGGUCGUAAAGCUCUGUCCUUGGGGAAGAAAAAAAUGACGGUACCCUUGGAGGAAGCCCCGGCUAACUACGUGCCAGCAGCCGCGGUAAUACGUAGGGGGCAAGCGUUAUCCGGAAUUAUUGGGCGUAAAGAGUGCGUAGGUGGAUACUUAAGUCAGAUGUGAAAAUCCCGGGCUUAACUUGGGAACUGCAUUUGAAACUGGGUAUCUAGAGUGCGGGAGAGGAAAGUGGAAUUCCUAGUGUAGCGGUGAAAUGCGUAGAGAUUAGGAAGAACACCAGUGGCGAAGGCGACUUUCUGGACCGUAACUGACGCUUAGGCAUGAAAGCGUGGGGAGCAAACA
rnacentral:rRNA from 1 species